GCUGGGAUGGCCGAGUCGUUAAGGCGAGUGAUUUGAAUUCAGUAUUAUGUAAUUGGAUUGUUACAUAAGUACUACAUUAUCACUUGGUGUUUCACCGCGUAGGUUCAAAUCCUGCUCCCAGCG